GUGUUCACUUCCCCAGCACAUACACUAAAACUGGAACAAUACAGAGAAGACUCACAUGGCCCCUGUGUGAGGAUGGCAUGCAUUUGUGAAGCGUUUCAUAUUCUG
ensembl:snRNA U6 U6 spliceosomal RNA